GCUCCGCCAUGGAGGCGCUGCGGGCAGCGGGGCGCGCCGUGCUGCGGAGCCCGCGCCUCGCCCGGCACGGCCUGGGGCUCCGCCGACGGCGCAAGCUUCCUGAGAGCUGGGCCGAUAUGCAGGAGCCACUGCUUGAGGGGAUGUGCUUCACCCUGAAGUAUCUAGGCAUGACUCUGGUAGAAAAACCAAAAGGAGAAGACAUGGCUGCCGCUGCCAUUCGCAGGAUUGUGGCCACGGCACGGGUGGGAGCUCGCAAGUUCCAGAAGGUGAUUCUGACAGUGUCUCCGAGGGGCAUCUCACUGCAGGAUGCAGACACAAAGGAAAUGGUGGAGAACGUCUCUAUCUACAGGAUCUCCUACUGCACAACAGACAAACUGCAGAACAAAGUCUUCGCUUAUGUUGCCCAGAGCCAGGAGAGUGGGGCGCUGGAGUGCCAUGCCUUCCUCUCACCCAAGAAGAAGAUUGCACAGGCUGUGACUCUGACCGUGGCCCAGGCCUUCCAGAUGGCUCUGGAUCUCUGGGAAGCAACACAUGCAGGCUCUAGGCAGGAUCAGCCCUUUCUCCCUUCAUGUGUCAUGGAGAACAGUGAGCCCGGCAGACCCCAUGAGCCAGCCCCCCGGGGGAGCCCUCCCUUCAGACACCAGUUUGGGGAGGAGGAAGAGGAGGAGGAAGAUGAUAAUGUUGGUGAAACCUUAUCUGGGUAGGUGGUGAGCUGCUUCUUCCUUUCAGACAUCUAAUGCACCCUGUCUUGUUUCCUUUUCUCUCCUCCAUGCAAGGGGAGCUGCUGGGGCCAUGGACAUGGUGGGAUCAUGGAGGAGAGCUGAAUGGGACCAAGCAGAAGCUUCACACUCUUUCUCCGUCUCUGUCAGUUGAGAGCUCAAGUGAACAGGGGGCUGAGCUGUGGAGGAACAGACCUUGCAGUCCAGCUUUUGCAGUGGAGCUAUGGGGGUCAGAUGGUGACCCCCAGGGUGCACCCAGAGAUGUUUCUUGUUCUGUUUCUGCCACUCUUUGUUGAUGCCAGCCUGUCCAGACAUGCCUCUCAGAUGGGACUCAGAAUUGCCCCCUUCCUCUCACUGAUUUCCCUGGGGCUUGGACCAGGAUGGAGGCUUGGUCAUGCUGACUUCUGCGUGGACUGGGGCUGUGGGCUGAGCUUGAUGGUGUCUGUCCUGUGCUGGGGAGGAGCUGAUGGAACCAGUCCAGCAGUGGACUGUUAAUCUGCAGGUCUUUGCAGAAGUGCAGUGUGAGAGGCCUGUUUCAUCGUGGCUGUUCUCCAUGUGCAUGGCAGUGCCAGCCAGCUGGGAUCUGGCAGUGCCACAUGGCUGAGCCUGGGCUGAGCUAGUGCCAGCCAGGAACCAGCACAUGCACAGAUGGGAGCUGUGUGCACAAUCUGAGGAAAUGGCGGCCCUUUGGACAGGGGGCUCCUGAUGGGAAGGAGAUGUGGCUAUGCAGUCUCAGAUCAGGCAGGUCUGGGGAGGGAGUUUGGUAGCAAAUGGGCUUAAGGCCUUCUGCACUCCCAGUGCCCGAUGCUGCCUGCCUUGUUGGGGUCAGGAGCAUGCAGUGUCUCUCAGGAGGCCAUGCCUGGGAUAUGAUAGGUGCUGUGUUCUCUUCCAAAGCAGCAUGGAGGAGCUGGGGAGGGGAGCUCAUAGCCCAGCAGAAUUAACACCUCUUGUGCCCCGAGCACGCUCUCCUACAGCACAGCUACUGUGCUAUCAGCUGGGGCACUCCUCAGACAGCUGGACAGGGCUGGGAGGGGUUGGAGACCUCCCC